rnacentral:lncRNA from 1 species
UAAGCUUCAGUGGCGCUGGAAGGACAAACAUGCCAUCAUCCCCACCUCCCUGGUGACUGGACAAAGUUACUUUGUGCCGAGAAUUCGUCACCUUCCUUUCCUUUUUGAGGACUACUUACAAAUAAGUUUUUGACUUGAUGUAAGCUGAAGGUGCUGCCCAUCAGUUUCUCCCAACGAUCAUUCACUGGAUUUUAUACAACAUCCACCUUUGGAAUUUGACUGAACUUGCUGUUUUGCGUGGCACGGUUCAAGGCGGUCAUUUUGGUUGCACAGGAAAUUUCUAAACCGCAUGGAAUAAAAUUAGCAACCUAGUUCUAGCAGGGCCGAUGUUUCUGAAACCCAUUUCAUUUCUCCUGUCUUCUAAGUAGUACAUUUUAUUUGGUUAUAUAGCUUAUAGCACAUAUAAUCUGCAUAAAGGAGGCAAUGACCUGCUUCUUAAUUCACAAGGCAUUGUGUUUACUUGAAAUUUGGUGUGGUUACUAUAUAUCAGUCUUUCUUGUGCUGGAAUGUGAAAAGUAGCUCUCUAUUCAAAACGACGCUGGCCUAUUGAAGCACAUGCUGCUGAAAAGUAGACUUGGAGUUAGCUCUACUAGGAGGGGGUAUGUUCGAAUGGUGUCCAAUACUUCUGUAGUCAUGGUCAGGUUGGUGUUUGUCUAGAUGGUUGCCAAUAUUUCGGUCUGCCAAUGACAAUUUGGCAACUCAACCUCAUUUUUCUAGCCAAUGUUAGUCAAGCUACGGGUAAAUAAAAGCCUGACCAAAAUAUUGGCUAGCCAAAUACAGUAUUUAGUAGGGCUAACUUGGGCUCAAACUAAGCACCCUUGUGAGAUGAGGAGAUGAACGCCCUGAGUGGGUUAGCCAAAUAUUAACUUGGCUAUGGUAGUUCGUUGAACUUGCCUUCUUGAUGCUUCUUUGUGUCUCCACAAGAUCACCGGCCUCCUUGAUGCUUGUUUGCGUCUCCACAAGAUCACCGACCUCCUCAACUCGGGAUCAUCCUCCCUCUCAUUAUCUUCCUCGCAUGACCAUCAACCAUGGACAUCUUUAUGUUAUCGAGGCCAAGUAUGUGCGAUUCAUCCAACUGAUACAUGGAGCUUUUACUCCUUCGAGGCAGGAAGAGGAGGCAUCACGGGUGGGAGAGAGAGGAGGGAAUAGUUUGCUAAGAAGUGGUGGCGGAUGCUCAAAAUUGAGAGUGGGGGAGAUUUUUUGGCUUACCUUUUACUCCCUCCGUUCCAAAUUACUCGUCGCAGAAAUGGAUAUAUCUAGAACUAAAAUACAUCUAGAUACAUCCAUACCCGCGACAAGUAAUUCGGAACGGAGGGAGUAGAAGUUAAUAGUUUGAGACUUUGGUUAGGUGCGUCUUAACUCCUCAAAACAGAAUCUUUUGAGGAGUUAGCCGUUUUUGAGAGUUUGGCUAGAGAUGCUCUAACAACCUAAAGUUGUCUAAAGCUUCAAAUUAAACCAUUUACUAAAGAAAAAAGGGGUAGGAGCUGCGCGCCUGAGCCAUUCGUCUCAAGAUGUUACUCUCUGUUGUACGGUUGUACAAUUACUCUGAAGUGGUAAGUUGAUGAUAUGGUUUUAGGGGAGAUCAAGCUUUGUGUAGUGUUACUUUGUCUAUAGCUCUUGCAUACAGUGCAAGAAACCCAACGGGAACAAGCUCUUGAGGUUGUUUGAGUUGUUACUCUCUUAGAUCUAUUCCAUUUUAUUGUGUUCCUUGGAGAUGCUUGUGAGUUUUUUCUUUUCUUUUGGCGUUGAGAUGCUUUUGAGUUCAUUAUGAGUUUUCUAGACCAGUAAGUGACAUUUAAAAGAGUUUUCACUCAUAUUUGUUAGUUGGUGUUGCUUACGACUGUUUAUUCCCAUUUCUAGAACAACAUAGCCCUAGUAAGCUCAUAUUUUGAAAGCUCGUUAAUUGGAUUUGAUAAUGAAGCAUACAUGCAGAACAUUCUUCUGUGCAGUAAAGUGCGCUAAAAAAAUAUAUCUUGGAAAAAGAUGUGUACCCUCACAAGGUAAAUUAUAGAGCACUAAAACUUAUUUCCUUUACAUGUUGCCAAAAAUACCCUCAUAAGGCAAAUUAUAGAACACUAAAACUUAUUUCCUUUACACAAUGCCAAAAAUGACUCUCAUGAACACAUUAGACUCAAUUGAUAUGACUAAUCGUUUGUAAACAUCUAUUCUAAACAUCUAGUUGUCCAAGUAUUCUUCGAUGUUCUCUCACACUAAUUGUUACACAUACUUCAUUCAUCAAAAUUCAAAAUAAAAGAUAAUAUGUGGUGAUGUGGUCAGGUACCGAAAAUCAUUGAUGCAAAGUCCUGGCGAACAUCCAAUUCUGGGCCCGGGCUCAUCUGCAUCCGAUGAACAGUAAAAUUAAAAAAACUGGUUUUUUUUCAUAUAAGAUAUUUUGGUGCGUGAGGUAUGUGCCAAAUUUCAAAGCAUUUGAACAUCUGAAUAGCUCUAAAAAAAUCGAGUCCAAACAGUAAACUUUUCCACGGACUCGAAAUUUGUCUUUUUGCUUAGAGCUACUCAGACAUUAAAAUUCUCUGAAAUUUGGCAGGGACAUCACGCUCUCAGUUAUCUUUCUUCACCAAAAAAAAUAAUCAGAUUUUCUAAAAUUUAAUUAGUAUUUAAAGAUUUUUUUGUUCACUCACGAGCUCAUCUUGAGCCUGAGAGCCAAAACGCCUCCCUCAUAGUCCUGGUCACUACUUUAUUUUGGAGAUAGUCCCACAGCCCACUCACCUACCUUUGCGUUGUAUGCCUUACUCCUAGUCUUGUCAUGGAAGAUGUACAAAACAUUGACACCCAUAUAUACCAUACUUCUUCACUCUUCUACUUAGCGAUACAUCCUCACGUGACUCUCUUUCCCACCCAAACACAAUGCUAGAUAUUGCUUGACAUGUUUGUAUCCCGACCACAUAUAGAAAUGAAAGGUGUCGGGAAUUUUUCAACAACAUCGAAUCUUGCUGACACUACCAGAUUAUUUUUCAGCAUUUCUUCUGAUGGGGUUCGAGGUACCACGAUAUGCACAAGCCGUAGCUCCUCGGACUUCACGGAGUUCAAGAAGCUUCAUGGACUGCGUUGCGCUGAAGCAGUUCGGUCCUAGGCUAUCCUAAUGCCAUGAGCAUAGCCGGUGACUAGGUUAAAGACGACCCUUCAGGGACGCGAGUUGAGGAAGUUUGCACAUCGUCCAACCAAUGGCAUUUGUGUAUUCGUUGGUUUGGACGUGUUGUAGUUCAAACUGCAGCGUAAGAAGUAGCUGCCGUUUGGCCAGAAACGCCCACGGUAAAAAAGGAACAAUCCCAGUAACUUUCCCACACACGCGUCAGUCUAUUGUAAAUCACCAGAAGAAGAAAAAAGAAAAAACAACACAAGAAAAAAAAAUGAAAUCCCAAACCCUUGCAGGCAGUCUUAGUUAUUUUGAAAGCUCAUUAUUUGGAUUUGAUAAUUUUUUUUUGAAGAGAGGCAAAAGAUUUGCCUCUCUUCAUUUAAUAAGAGGAAUAGAGUUUAUGGUUAUGUUACAACACAGACAGCGCCGCAACAACACAAGUGUAUGUGACCAACUACUCUCGCGUCAUCAAGUAUCCCAACUUUCUAGCACCCGCAGUUACCCAAAGCAUGGCCUCCUUCUUGAUGUUGGCGAGUAGGACCGUUGGUGGGGCACUCUUGUGAAGGAACACUCGCGUAUUCCUCUCAUUCCAAAUUUGUUGGAAAUGGAGCAAGAACACCUUUUUGGGAUGCGCCAUGGGUGAAUGACCGCAAGCCUAGGGACAUUGCACCUCUAAUUUUCGAAUGGAGGCUACAUGCAGAACACUCUUCCGCGUGGCAAAGCACGCUAAACACCUGCAAUUUUUUAGAGCUUGGAAAAAUUGUGUGUAUCGUCAGAGGGCAAAUUAUAGAGCACUAAACUUAUUUCCUCUACACAUUACAAAAAAUGACUCUCACUCAUGAACACGUUAGACUUGAUUGAUAUGACUAAAUGUUUGUAAACAUUCAUUCCGAACAUCUUGUUUUGCAAGUAUUCUUCGAUGUUCUCUCACACUAAUUGUUACACAUACUUCAUUCAUCAAAUUUCAAAAUAAAAGAUAAUAUGUGGUGAUGUGGUCACGUACCAAAAAUCAUUGAUGCAUAGUCCUGGUCACUUUAUUUUGGGGAUACUCCCAUAGCCCACUCACCAACUUUUGUGUUGUAUACCUUACUCCUGGUCGUGUCAUGGAAGAUGUACAAAACAAUGACACUCAUAUAUACCAUACUUCUUCACUCUUCUACUUAGCGAUCGAUCCUUAUGCGACCCUCCUUCCCAGCCAAACACAAUGCUAGAUAUUCCUUGACAUGUUUGUAUCCUGAUCAAACAUAGAAAUGAAAGGUGUCGGGAAUUUUUCAACAACAUCCAAUCCUGCUAAUGCAACCACAUUAUUUCUCAGCAUUUCUUAUGCUGGGAUUCGAGGUACGAUGAUCUACUGGUGUUGUAGCUGCUCGGACUUUUACAGAGUUCAAGCAUCAUGGACUAUGUAACCUAAUCAACAACUCGUGGCUGUGUCAACGCCUUCACGAGCUGCGAUCUGGUUUACGCCGGCGCCUUCAAGUAAAUAAUUAAAGAUGCGAGUUGAGAAGGUUUGCAUGUUAUCCAACCAGGAUUGGUGGCUCCGAGUGGAUAGCUAAUAGCCAAUGGCAUUCGUGUAUGCAUCGACGUGUUGUAGUUCUAGCUAUCGGGUGUGUGGCUGAGUUCAAGACUCCUGUAGCGUAAAACAUAGCUGUCAUUUGGUCAAUCCGUAACAAACUCUAAAUUUGACUAUUAUCCCUUUUGUUGUCCGACCACUACUGUUGUCGUGCCUAAACUCUGUUCUUCUUUUCUAGUCUCUUGUUUUAUCUAUUUCUUUCCUAAGUGCUACUACUUGCGUCCCACUGCUGCUAUUUGUGUCCAGGUUCAUAUCACCCAGCUUUCUUUCCACGGUGCUUCAUUCAACCAGUGUCUUUUAUUUCAUUUUAAGGAUUGAUUAAACCAGUUGGUUUUGCUUGGGGCCGCACUUGAUACUUAGUCCAGAUUUAGAGAGGGAUAAGCUUACUGAAUUCUUCUGCGAUUUUUUUUGAGGAAUUUCUUGGAUAACUUGAGAAUCACAUGCCUCUGUAUGCGUGGAAUGUGAUAGUAUAUCUUGGACCGGCAAUGUAGUACACAUUUCGUCCUCUCGUCACCAUUCAUAAAUGUCCCAUUGACGACACAGCAGAACGCACACCCAAAGCACAUACUUGUGGUAGCUCCGUAUUCAAAACACACAUGGCACCAUAGCAAUCCUUCUAUUCCAGAAAAGCAAGCGGCACCGAGAAUUUGCCACUUUCCUUUUCUUUUUGAGGACUACUUACAAAUAAAUAAAAUUUUGACUUGAUGUAGGCUGAAGGUGCUGCCCAUCAGUUUAUCCCAACGAUCAUCCACUGUAUUUUGUAUAACAUCCACCUUUGGAAUUUGACUGAACUUGCUGUUUCGUGUAGCAAAAUUCAAGACAUCAUUCUGGUUGCACAGGAAAUUUCAAAACCGCGUGGAAUAAAAUUAGCAACC